GGGCCCGCACAAGCAGUGGAGUAUGUGGUUUAAUUCGAGGCAACGCGAGGAACCUUACCAGGGAUUGACAUCCUGCGCUAGACUUGGAGACAGGUUGUUCCUUCGGGACGCAGAGACAGGUGGUGCAUGGUUGUCGUCAGCUCGUGUCGUGAGAUGUUCGGUUAAGUCCGGCAACGAGCGCAACCCUUGUCGCCAGUUGCCAUCAUUGAGUUGGGCACUUUGGCGAGACUGCCGUUGACAAAACGGAGGAAGGUGGGG
rnacentral:rRNA from 1 species